GAGUCCAGGGGAUAAGGGUUGAUGCUCUCUAAUUUUCUCUCUCUAGAUUUCUCUCUCCUAAUGCAAGGAAUGGUUGAUUUGGCUUGAUUCCUUCUUCUCCUUGGUGCUAGCUGGUUUGGAACCUUGAGGGAUAGCUUCUGGAGCUAAGGGGGAGGUGUUGUGACAGAGUUCUUCAUCCUUACUGCAGAGAAAGGCUAAAGAGAGGCUUAGAAAGCUGGUUGAGAAGUGGUUGCAGCAGUGAGAAAGGAAAUACCUAGCUGUAAUUUCUCUAUUCUAGUUCAAGGAAAAGCGGAUUCAAAGCCUUAAGAAGCGAGGUCAAUAAAUUGAUCUCGGCUGAUAUUUAGAAGUCUUUGGAGAUUACACUGAGUGCCAUGGACUGAACCAAGACAGGGAUCUAAGCUAUAACCUGACAUAAGGGUAUUUGGUGGCACUCGGCUAACUUCUGGGAACUUACGAAAGUGGAAUUUGAUGUUUUAAGCUGGAUUAAACAUGGGCUAAAACUAUAACUGAGUACGAAGUGAGAAGUUGCUGAAAUAGGAUAUUUUAGUAAGCACUUCAAUGUAGUUUUAUAGCUAAUUCGUAGCAGGCUCGCAGCGGACUGUGUGUUAGAUCUCGGCUGAUUUUGGAAGGCUUUUGAAGCUGAAACUUGGAGCAUUCAUCUAAUCUGAACCAGGGGUUCAACUAUCGAAGGGUACAAGGGCUUUUGGAGAAUUGUGAAGAUUCAUACCUGCAGGUUGGACGUGAAUCGUCGACUAAUAGAGCCAGCUGCUACAGGAGAGACUAAGGAUCGUGGCAAGGGAGUCGCGUCUAACUAGAUAUAGCUUGGAGCUUGACUAGAUGAUCACCUUGCUACUCGGGCUACGGCCGAGGGUGAUGUACCCGUGUAUAGAGAGACUACCAUUGUACAUACAUUUUGACUGACCUUGUGAUGCAUUUGUGGUUUGCACCUGGGAUUACAGUGUUGAUGUUUCUCUAUGGAGUUGAGAUUCAGGGUUGUUUACA